rnacentral:rRNA from 1 species
AGCUCCAAUAGCGUAUAUUAAAGUUGUUGCAGUUAAAAGCUCGUAGUUGGAUUUCUGGCAGGGUGGCAUUGCCCUCUUGAUGAGUGCGCAACGUGGCCCUUCCAUCCUUCUGUUAACUAUUGAGAGUUUAACGCUCUCCUUAGGGCUCAGAUAUUUUACCUUGAGAAAAUUAGAGUGUUUCAGGCAGGCUAGCGCCGGAAUACAUUAGCAUGGAAUAAUAGAAUAGGACUUUUGCCUCUUCUGUUGGUCUGAGGGGUUCGA